AAUCAACGCUGGCGGCGUGCCUAACACAUGCAAGUCGAACGCGAGAGGGGCUUCGGCCCUGAUUGAGUGGCAAACGGGUGAGUAACGCGUGGGUGACCUACCUUCGAGUGGGGGAUAACGUUCCGAAAGGGACGCUAAUACCGCAUAACAUCCUGUCUUUGGACAGAUGGAGAUCAAAGCCGGGGAUCGUAAGACCUGGCGCUUGAGGAGGGGCCCGCGUCCGAUUAGCUAGUUGGUGGGAAUGGCUCACCAAGGCAACGAUCGGUAGCCGGCCUGAGAGGGCGGACGGCCACACUGGGACUGAGACACGGCCCAGACUCCUACGGGAGGCAGCAGUGGGGAAUUGUUCGCAAUGGGCGCAAGCCUGACGACGCAACGCCGCGUGAAGGAUGAAGGUCUUCGGA
rnacentral:rRNA from 1 species